rnacentral:rRNA from 1 species
AUGUUGGCCGGGCGACGGUUGUCCCGGUUUAAGCGUGUAGGCUGGUUUUCCAGGCAAAUCCGGAAAACUAAGGCUGAGGCGUGAUGACGAGGCACUACGGUGCUGAAGCAACAAAUGCCCUGCUUCCAGGAAAAGCCUCUAAGCAUCAGGUAACAUCAAAUCGUACCCCAAACCGACACAGGUGGUCAGGUAGAGAAUACCAAGGCGCUUGAGAGAACUCGGGUGAAGGAACUAGGCAAAAUGGUGCCGUAACUUCGGGAGAAGGCACGCUGAUAUGUAGGUGAAGUCCCUCGCGGAUGGAGCUGAAAUCAGUCGAAGAUACCAGCUGGCUGCAACUGUUUAUUAAAAACACAGCACUGUGCAAACACGAAAGUGGACGUAUACGGUGUGACGCCUGCCCGGUGCCGGAAGGUUAAUUGAUGGGGUCAGCGCAAGCGAAGCUCUUGAUCGAAGCCCCGGUAAACGGCGGCCGUAACUAUAACGGUCCUAAGGUAGCGAAAUUCCUUGUCGGGUAAGUUCCGACCUGCACGAAUGGCGUAAUGAUGGCCAGGCUGUCUCCACCCGAGACUCAGUGAAAUUGAACUCGCUGUGAAGAUGCAGUGUACCCGCGGCAAGACGGAAAGACCCCGUGAACCUUUACUAUAGCUUGACACUGAACAUUGAGCCUUGAUGUGUAGGAUAGGUGGGAGGCUUUGAAGUGUGGACGCCAGUCUGCAUGGAGCCGACCUUGAAAUACCACCCUUUAAUGUUUGAUGUUCUAACGUUGACCCGUAAUCCGGGUUGCGGACAGUGUCUGGUGGGUAGUUUGACUGGGGCGGUCUCCUCCUAAAGAGUAACGGAGGAGCACGAAGGUUGGCUAAUCCUGGUCGGACAUCAGGAGGUUAGUGCAAUGGCAUAAGCCAGCUUGACUGCGAGCGUGACGGCGCGAGCAGGUGCGAAAGCAGGUCAUAGUGAUCCGGUGGUUCUGAAUGGAAGGGCCAUCGCUCAACGGAUAAAAGGUACUCCGGGGAUAACAGGCUGAUACCGCCCAAGAGUUCAUAUCGACGGCGGUGUUUGGCACCUCGAUGUCGGCUCAUCACAUCCUGGGGCUGAAGUAGGUCCCAAGGGUAUGGCUGUUCGCCAUUUAAAGUGGUACGCGAGCUGGGUUUAGAACGUCGUGAGACAGUUCGGUCCCUAUCUGCCGUGGGCGCUGGAGAACUGAGGGGGGCUGCUCCUAGUACGAGAGGACCGG